UGCAGAAUCCCGUGAACCAUCGAGUCUUUGAACGCAAGUUGCGCCCGAAGCCAUUAGGCUGAGGGCACGCCUGCCUGGGUGUUGCACAUCGUUGCCCCUGUGCCUUGGCCACGUGCUAGGCACCGAGCGGGGCGAAUGUUGGCUUCCCGCGAGCAGCGUCUCACGGUUGGUUGAAAACUGAGUCCGCGGUGGAGCGCACCGUGAUGGAUGGUGGUUGAGUUAAAGCUCGAGACUGAUCGUGCGUGUCACCUCCACCAGCUUUGAGACUCUUUGACCCAUGGGGGUCUGUUGACCGCCUAAGACGGGAACCUCAGGUCAGGCGGGGCUACCCGCUGAGUUUAAGCAUAUCAAUAAGCGGAGGAAAAGAAACUAACAAGGAUUCCCCUAGUAACGGCGAGCGAACCGGGAAGAGCCCACCAUGAGAAUCGGAUGCCCACGGUUUCCGA
rnacentral:rRNA from 1 species